rnacentral:rRNA from 1 species
UACGGGGGGAGCAAGCGUUGUUCGGAUUUACUGGGCGUAAAGGGCGCGUAGGCGGCCACCGCAAGUCGACUGUGAAAUCUCCGGGCUUAACCCGGAAAGGUCAGCCGAUACUGCGGGGCUAGAGUGCUGAAGGGGCAACUGGAAUUCUCGGUGUAGCGGUGAAAUGCGUAGAUAUCGAGAGGAACACCUGCGGCGAAGGCGGGUUGCUGGGCUGACACUGACGCUGAGGAGCGAAAGCGUGGGGAGCGAACAGG